CUCCGGGGCACAAAACAGAAAACUGAAGAGGGGGAGGAUAAAGAUGUUGGAGAGACGAAGAAAAACUUUUCAAAGUGGCUGAAAGACAGAAGCUGUGAGGAAGAAGAGAAGAUGAAUCAGGACAAACAGGAAGGCAACAGGUUGGUCUAAUAUCAGUGGAGACGCCAAAGACGAGGGUGAAGGAGACAGAGGAGACAAGUGACGACAUCAGGAAGGAAUAAUUACAUCAGGGAGGCAACAAAAACCUAAAUACCACGAUGGUUUGAUUUUAAUUACUGUAUUUUAUGAGUACAUGAAUAAAUAAGAGCUGUAUGGUCAUAUUAAACCUGCAGGGGGCGCCGAUGACAUGUUUGCAAACACCUCAGAAAGUAUGUAGUUGCUCCUCUGCCAACAACAGACCAGACUGGAGGGUUCUUCAGACUCCAGCAGAAAAAAUUCAACCUUUAAUGUCUGAGCUAGCAUUAGCUUAGCAUGGCUCUACUGUUUGCUGGAAAGCCAGAUAGGAGAUGCUAACCUGAUGCUAACUGUAUGAAAUCAGGUCUAUAUUUCAUCUGCAGAGAAGCCACGUUCUGACCCGUCUGUUUUUCUGAAAUGGAUCGAUGUGUUUCGUUGAUGACGCUGGUAAAAUUAUUGUGUUUCUUUAUGACGACACUCUGAAUGAAAAUGUUAGAGGAUCUGUCAGAAAUCCAACAUGUUUGACAUUUCUGCCUAUUGUGUUCAUAAUGUCAGUCAGAAGCUGAAAGCGUCAGUGAAGCUGCUGCAUCCUGUUUGGCCCCGCCCACCACCUGAAUGAGUUAAUCAUUAAUGAACCAGGCAGCGAGUUAUACCAAGAGGUUUUACAUAAAUUCUUUCGGAAAUGUUUUUUUCUGAGUAUAAACCUUUUGAAAGAAGGACUGAGACGGCAAAACAGGCACCUGAAGGCUCAACACGCUGACAUUUUGUCACAGGUUAAGUCCAAGUCCACCUCGCUGCAGCAAACAGGAAGGGCGGGACG